GGAUAGCUCAGUUGGUUAGAGUGUGUUGCUGAUAUCUCCAAGGUCGCAGGUUCAAUCCCCCUAAGGGACA